GGCCUGCCAGACAGCGAAGGCGGCUGGCAAUCAUUAACUAAUGCUUUCUCCCAGGGAGAAAAAUGCUGGCUUUAAGGAGGCCCGGACGUCAGAAUUGCAAUAGAAGCUCUGGUCACAUUAUCACUGAGGGAAGUCAUGUCAGGAACCCGAAGACAGGAAGCAGAGGCCAUGGAGGGAUGUUUCUGACGGCUUGCUCCCAUGGCUUGCUCAACCUGCUUUCUUGUAUCGCCUGGACCUACCUGCCUAGGAGUGGCGCUGCCCACAGUGGGCUGUACCCUUCCACUUCAGUUACUAAUCAAGGAAAUCCCCUAAAAGGCCUGCUGAUAGGCCAGUCUGAUGGGGGCAUUUUCUCAACUGAGCUUCCCUUAUUCCAGAUGACCUGAGCUGUGUCAACCUUGAUGUAACAACUGACCAGUGCACCCAAACCACUGUAGGAUUCUAAGAUGGUAUUGAAAUAUUGUGGCUUUAAUUGCUGAUACUGGGUGGGCAAAACUGAGGUCAUGAUUUUAUUUUAUUUUAUUCUAGAUAAGAGUCUCAUGUGAUCCAGGCUGAUCUCUCUGUAACUCCCAAUGCUCUUCCCUCUAUUUCCCAAACUCUGGGUUCAUGGGCACGCAUCCUUGCAUCCUUGUACCUGGCCAGUGUCUCAUCUUAGCUGCCAUUUCCCUAUUAUUGAGGGAAUGAAAGAGGAUGAAAGGAAGAUUCUAGUGAAAAGAGAAUAUGCCAUGGAAAUGUGAUCCAAUAUUUUGUAUUCCUUCAGUGAGUUGAAGCAUAAAAAAAAAAAACAAAAACAAAAACAACAACAAAAAAAUCUAGAAAGCCAAAGCCUGGCGUGAAGGAAAUAGAGGCCAGAGAGGACCAGGAGUCUUCCAGGCCUGGUGGAGAACAGCUUUAAUCAAGCACUCACAAGGCGGAGCAUGUAGACCUCUGUGAUCUCAAGACUGCUCUGGUCUGUGUAGCUAAUUUCAGCUCAGCCAGAGCCACACAGUGAGACCUUGUCUUCAAAACAAAGCAAAACAAAAACCAUGACAAAGGAAAACAAAAAUCCCCACAAACAUCAACAAAAAGAGGAUCGGGAAUUUAGUCCCAGCUUCAAGUCAGUUUUAGGCUAGCCUGGGCUACCUGAAACCGGGCGUCGACAAAACAAAACAACCCAUCUGUUAAUGCCUAAUAGCAAGCUAUCUGUGACAAAGGUAGACGCAGAAGUUUGUCAUUCUGAGGAGCGCUGUGUAUCCAUCCAGGUAUGACUGAACUCCACCCACGUGCAGUGUGUGGGUACCUCCUACGUCAGCUUCACAUCCCCCAGUGCAUCACCAUCUUGUGUACAACAGUUUGCUGUUUCGCUUGGCCUCUGACCUGGACUCCUUAAUGAGCCCACAAUAAGAACAGCUGCAGUUUUCUUGUUGUGGUCUUUACAGGAGGGUUGAGUGCUGAGACAGAAUGCUUAGGUCCCGGGAGUGUGGACAAGUGUCCACACAGUCUGUACCUGACUUCCGUGUCUCCUACUCUGUCACCACUGGUCACAGUAAGAGCCCAAAGCUCACUGACAGAGGCUUCUUUUUGUUGUUGAUAACCAUCUCCGUGCAGUCCUGGCUGUACUGAAACUCACUCCGUAGACCAGGCUGGCCUCGAACUCACAGAGCUCUGCCUGCCUCUGCCUCCUGAGUGCUGGGAUUAAAGGCUUGUGAGCUACCACGGCUCAGCAGAGGGUUCUAUCUAUAGUUGCUUCACUCAGCCUGCUUGGGCAGAAGAACAUCAUUGCAGAAGGGAGCCACUCACCGUGUGGCCAACCAGGAAGCAGGAGAAAAGAGGCAGCCAUCUUAGGUGAUUAAGAAUCCUACUGUCAAGGGCUAAGAGGUGGCUCGGUGGUGUAGAACACUCGUUGCUCUUGCAGAGACCCGGAUUUGAUACCCAGCACAUGCGUGCCGGCUCACAAACACCCAUAAUUCCAGUUCCAGAGGACCUGAUGCCUUCUACAUGAUGCACAUACAUAUAUAUUCAAGCAAAGCAUCCGUGCACAUCAAUAAAUAGACUAAAAACAAAAAUCUCACCAGUGACGAAUUGAUAGCGGUGGACGGGCAUAUAUAUGAACCUGUGGCUGGGCCUGUGCACACACCUCUGGGUGGCCCUGCAGUGCGCGGGUCUGAAGUUCGGGUUUGAAUAGCUUCACGGCAGAUCUCCUCUAGAAACUCAAUGUGUAUCUUAGGGUUAUUCUCAAGGGCUGGGGCUGGAGCUUGAUGAGAGAGUCAUGGCCUAGUUUGUGCAAAGCACUGCGUUCAUUCCUGAGACACAUCCUCCCAAAAUCUGGGGUUCAAACAACUUAAAGGUACUUGCGGUAAGCUCACCUGGACAUCAUAUAUGGAAUAAUCGUCCGUUAUAAAUUUCGAACAGUAAAAAAAAAGUCUCUUCUGGGAUUGCAGGACUCAAUCCCGGGAAGAUUCCUACCUCCAGACUAACACUUGGAAGAUAAAGAAUGAGGGAGCUGACAACCUCCUUGCAGAAUUCUGCCCAGCACUGACAGCCUCAGCGCCCACCCUCUGCUUCUCAGGAUGACCCUGGGAGCGCCUGAGUUUUCUUUGCUCAGUGAGGAAACCCCUGGGUUUCAGAGUAACUCCUGCUGGCACACUGGGAAAGACUUUUAAAGCUGGAAUUAAAAAACCAAACCAAACCAAACCAAAUCAAACCAAACCAAACCAAACCAAACCAAACCAAACCAAACCAAACCAAACUGAAACAAAAAGAAAAACAAACCAUUCAUCUGAUCCAUGGCGCUGUUGCCUGGCUAGGGCAAGCCUGCGUGCGGGGGCGGGGCGGGGUGGAGUGAGGGGGAAUCGGAGGAGGUCAGACCUUCAGUUUCUCAAUCCAAGAGUGUGGAAUGAUUCUUGUUUUAGUUUUACCUAGUGUAGCUCACUGUUUGCAAGUCAGGGAACCGGCCCCAGGCUCUGCGCCCAGAUUGAAAGCCUUGCUCCCUUCCGAAAUGCAAAAGUCUCUCUGGGUUUUAUUUCCUUGCGCUCUGACCUUAUCAACACCACACUCCAUUCUCCCAGGCCUCCCCAGAGAAGGCCUCUUAAAUAUGCCACUGGCCUUCGCCCUGAUGUCUCACCCACCAGAAGCACUCAUUCUCUUAAAUCAUUCACCCAGCUUGUCGGGACAGCAUUUUAGACUUUAGCAAGACCAACCGUUUGUGGGGAGCCUGUGAGCCCAGACACUCUGUAAAUGCACUAAUUAGCUCAGUGGAAAGAGCCCAAGAGCAGGCAGCAACAUCUCCUUCCCAGAGGGAAGCUCACCAGACUCUGCCUCAGCCCAGAUUCUCCAAGAUUCUAGUUCGGGAAAGAUAUGGUCAGGCGGUGGGAACUGAUUUCCCAGAUCGAGCCCCAACAUCACUGAUGUCUGGGGUCUGAGUGCGUGGGCAAAAGGAGCUGUCUGAGCCCCGUGGGCUAAUUUUGCAGCCUCCCUGGAUACAGCCUAGUCAUCUGUUUUCCUCCCCAAAGCUGUAAUAAGCAAAAAUGUCCAUGGGGCUGGGAACGUGGCUCCGGUGGCGUGCUAACCUAGUAUGUGAGUGAAGUUUGAAUCCUGGCCUGCCUUUUAAUCAGCUGUGUGACCUUGGAGAAGUUACUUUGCCUAUCUGUUCCCUGGUCUUCUUACUUGUAAUGUGGGAUAAUAGCAUGGAUACUGCUCUUCUGUAAAAGAAGUGUUUAAAAUGGGGCAACAAGAAAUAAGCUACAGGGCUGGAGAGAUGGCUCAGUGGUUAAUAGUACUGACUGCUCUUCCAGAGGUUCUGAGUUCAAUUCCCAGCAACCACAUGAUGGCUCACAACCAUCUGUAAUAGGAUCUGAUUCCCUCUUCUGGGGUGUCUGAAGACAAUGACAGUAUACUCACAUACAUAAAAUAAAUAAGAUUUAAGAAAAAAACCCAACAUAUUAAAUGAGGGGCGGGCAACUCAUUUUCAAAACCUUUGGGCAGAUCAUAUUUUAUGAAAUAGAAAACAAUAGUUCUGACCAAACUCC
ensembl:lincRNA 5930430L01Rik RIKEN cDNA 5930430L01 gene